AGCGUCGGGCCGGGCGGGAAAGUGGAAAACUACCCGCGGCGGUCCGGCGUGGUGGUUCACCCUUGUAAUCCCAGCAGUUUGGGAGGCCGAGGCGGGCGAAUCAGGAGGUCAGCAGAUCGAGACCAUCCUGGCUAACACGGUGAAACCCGUCUCUACUAAAAAUAGAAAAAAAUUAGCCGGGCGCGGUGGCGGGCGCCUGUAGUCCCAGCUACUCGGGAGGCUGAGGCAGGAGAAUGGCUUGAACCCGGGAGGCGGAGCUUGCAGUGAGCCGAGAUUGCGCCACUGCACUCCAGCCUGGGCGACAGAGCGAGACUCCGUCUCAAAACAAUAAAUAAAUAAAUAAAACUACGAGUGACGACUUCUUGUAUGGGUGCAUCUUAUUCUAAGAGUCUCAUCAAACUGCUUCUGGGGAUUGACAUACUACAGGUUCGCCAGUUGGUGAUUGAUAAGUUGUCGUCUAUUGGAGGAUUUGCCUGUGAUAAUAAAGUUCAUUCUUCAUUCCAUAACAGCCAUGGAUGCACUUGAGGUAAUUUCUGAGCUUCGGGAGAAGUUGGAUCUGCAACAUUGUGUUUUGCCAUCACAGUUACAGGCUUCCCAAGUAAAAUAGAAAAGUAAAGGACGAGCAAGGAAAUCAAGAAAGCAGCGGUCAGAGCUGCAUUAUUCUCCUUUUUGAUGUAAUAAAGUGCUGGGAUUACAGGCGUGAGCCACCAGAAUAAACCAGCCUGGCUUAUUCUUUCGAUGACUGUAAUAUUCCAAAAAUUAAAAUUACUCCGUCAUAAUUUAUUGGACCUUUCCCGUAUUGGUGGGCAUUUAUAGUCUUUCCAACUUUUCACAAAGUAAUUUUCCUAGUAAUAGUGAAAAUACUGGAGUUGGCAAGUGAUUGAAUCUUUCCUUUAAUAAAUGUCAAGAUAUUCAAAGUUACUUCUGUAGUAGAAUCACUUUAAUGUAUAUUGCAAUGUAUUAAGAGAUACCAGUGGUUAAUAAUUGUGGCACUUUAUUUCUCUGAAAAUUAUUUCUGGGUUUUGUGAAAAGUGUAGAUACUCCCAGGGGAGUGUGUGGAACAAAUGAGCAUCAUCCAUUCUGUGUUUUAAUGGGGAAAAGCUGCUGUUUCAUUGUAGCAAAUGUACUGAUUUGUUAACUGUUUUUCUAUUAUUGCAUAUUUAUUGACAAUAGGUGUUUGACCUGGUGAUGCUUUUCAUCAUCUAUAGCAGCAAUACUCAGACAAAGAAGUACAUUGAAAGGUGCUAAGAAAUAAGAUUCGAUCAGGCUGCAUUCAAGAACAACUGCUCCAGAGUACAUUCUCUGUUCAUUACUUAGUAAGUGUCAGAGACUAUUGAUCUUUAAUCUAAAACGGAAAGCUAUACAGCUCCUGUGUAAAAUUUCAUCUUAUUUCAGUCCAUUGUUCAAACCCAUAGAAAUUUUUGAAUUUUAUUUUUGCAUUAAUCAUUUUAAUUGUCUAUCUCAAUGCAUUUUGCAGCUAUGACAAACUAGCCUUUCAUAUCCUAUUCUAAGUAGCUUAUAAAAACCUUGAGGGGAAAGGCCGGGUGCAGUGGCUUAUGCCUGUAAUCCUAGCACUUUGGGAGGCCGAGGUGGGCAAAUUACGAGGUCAGGAGUUCGAGAGCAGCCUGGCUAACAUGGUAAAACCCCGUCUCUACUAAAAAAAUACGAAAAGUUAGCUGGGCGUGGUGUUGGGCACCUGUAAUCCCAGCUACUUCAGAGGCUGAGGCAGGAGAAUCUCUUGAACCCAGGAGGCGGAGGUUGCAGUGAGCCGAGAUCUGCCACUGUACUCCAGCCUGAGCGACGGAGCAAGACUCCGUCUCAAAAAGAAAUCCUUGAGGGGAAUAGGACCUGCCUGUAGAAACUAGUAGAAACGUAAAUAUGAACUUAUUUGAACUAUCACUCUUUGGCUAUUCAAAACUGUGGACUUUAGGUGAUAAUUCCUCUGGAAAUGUAAUUUAUUCAAACUGGAAUUUUAUAAGCUGGGAAUAGUGUUUUGCCUGAAUGUUCAAUAUAUUAACAGUAUAGAACUUAGAAAACUGGAUGGGCCAGUCGUUUGGGGUUUGGGUCAGAGGCUAAUGAGAAUACCUCGUUGGAUCUUAAAUUUUAUAUUUAGGAAUGGAUUUAAUGUUUGUAUUAUUUCAUCUUGCAGUUCUUUCUGUGUUUAUUUCUGCCAAUUAUAUAUGUUUUGGGCUGUAAUUUUCUAGAUGCAGAAACCAUAUGUAAUUUUUCAUUGCAUUUUCCCCAAUAAAGCAUUAUACCCAGC
ensembl:lncRNA